rnacentral:lncRNA from 1 species
GUAGGAAUAAUGAAAGCAAUAAUUUGAAGCCAUUGAAGGAGGGGUCCCCCAAUUUGAGUAAUUUUUUUGCUUAUGAAGGGAGGAUACCUUUAAAAGCCUUUAGGCUUUAGGGUCACUGAGGCAGAGAUAUUUAUGGGGGAGAUUCCUUGGCGUUUUCGUAAUGGGUCAGAGCCACGUGUUGCUCCCAUGUCCCUGUUGCUUCUAUUUCACAUUCAGUUCACUUGUGAAUGGUUUUCAAA